UUCGCUCGAGAAUCGAGAUCCCAUUUUAUAUUUAAAGCUUCAGAUAACUUGUCUAACAAUUUAUGCAUUCCCCCCUCCCCCCCGCCCAAAAAAAAACGUGUCUAACAAUUAUGUAUUUAUUCAUUAUUGCAUUAUCGACCAAUUUCAAUUGAAAAAGUAAAGUACCACUAGUAAAAAAAUUGAGCACUAGUAUUGAACACGUUAUAUAUAUA
rnacentral:lncRNA from 1 species